AACGAACGCUGGCGGCAUGCCUAACACAUGCAAGUCGAACGAGACCUUCGGGUCUAGUGGCGCACGGGUGCGUAACACGUGGGAAUCUGCCCUUUGCUUCGGAAUAACAGUUAGAAAUGACUGCUAAUACCGGAUGAUGUCGAAAGACCAAAGAUUUAUCGGCAAGGGAUGAGCCCGCGUAGGAUUAGGUAGUUGGUGGGGUAAAGGCCUACCAAGCCGACGAUCCUUAGCUGGUCUGAGAGGAUGAUCAGCCACACUGGGACUGAGACACGGCCCAGACUCCUACGGGAGGCAGCAGUGGGGAAUAUUGGACAAUGGGCGAAAGCCUGAUCCAGCAAUGCCGCGUGAGUGAUGAAGGCCUUAGGGUUGUAAAGCUCUUUUACCAGGGAUGAUAAUGACAGUACCUGGAGAAUAAGCUCCGGCUAACUCCGUG
rnacentral:rRNA from 1 species